CAGUAAACCCACAGAAGAAGAACGAAGACGACGCGCAAAACUUUUGUUUGUAUAUAUAGACUUCAGACAGAAAUUCGUGCUGCAAACCGUUUGCGCGAUGCAAAGCCGCAAAAGAAAAAAAUGAAGAGAUGUGUAUGUGGAGAGGUGGAUCAACACCACACGAGGACAGCAGGGAUUUAAGAGUUGGAGAAUAGGACAGGCUUCGCAAAGCAUGACUUGGAGAGCGUUUGUCUUUGACCCUGCGAUUCUAUGCAACAGGUGACACGUUCAAGUCCCUCAGGUUCAAGUCCAGGAUGGGGGACCAGCACCAUCCCACAAAUAGUUUUGGAUAGCUGUUCUGUACCAGGUUAUAAAGGACGAUUUCUUGAAGACACCAUCAACGGAAGGAGAGUGGCAUAGCCGUGGACUUCGAAAGGAAGUGGCAGUUUCCACAUUGCUUUGGGGUACUUGCUACCACUCCAGCUGUAGCAGACUGCUGACCAAAAGAUGGUUGAUGGGCAAUGGAAGAAUCGUGGGACGGGUGCUUUUCAACCGAUGAACACCACCUCACAUCGCAAUUCUAUGGCAACAGCAAAAGUGCAACGCAAUCUGAUGCGGGACUACUUUGUCUCACCA